rnacentral:rRNA from 1 species
AUUGAACGCUGGCGGUAUGCUUAACACAUGCAAGUCGAACGAGUGGCGGACGGGUGAGUAAUGCAUAGGAAUCUACCUUUUAGUCUAGGCUAACUACCCGAAAGGGUGGCUAAUACUGGAUGCUAAUAGAUGCGCCUAUGUGUGAUUAGCUAGUGGGUGGGGUAAUGUCUCACCAAGGCGACGUUCUCUAGCUGGUUUGAGAGGAUGAUCAGCCAGACUGUGACUGAGAAACGGCCCAGACUCCUACGGGAGGCAGCAGUGGGGAAUAUUGGCCAAUGGGCGAAAGCCUGAUCCAGCAAUACCGCGUGUGUGAAGAAGGCCCUAGGGUUGUAAAGUACUGUCAGCGGGGAGGCGUUACCCGCAGAAGAAGCACCGGCUAACGCCGUGCCAGCAGCCGCGGUAAUUC